ensembl:snoRNA
AUCCUGUUGUAGCUCAUGAGCGUGAUAAUUGGGUGUUCAUGUGCGUGUGUGAGAUGUGCCACCCUCUGAACCUUGUUACGACAUUGGCACAUUACCUGUCUGACC